UACGGGGGGGGCAAGCGUUGUUCGGAAUUACUGGGCGUAAGGGCUUGUAGGCGGCCAACUAAGUCCGACGUGAAAUCCCCAGGCUUAACCUGGGAACUGCGUCGGAUACUGGAUGGCUUGAAUUCGGGAGAGGGAUGCAGAAUUCCAGGUGUAGCGGUGAAAUGCGUAGAUAUCUGGAGGAAUACCGGUGGCGAAGGCGGCAUCCUGGACCGACAUUGACGCUGAGGAGCGAAAGCUAGGGGAGCAAACGGG
rnacentral:rRNA from 1 species